UGACCGCUGGCGGCGUGCCUAAUACAUGCACGUCGAGCGAACAGACGAGGAGCUUGCUCCUCUGACGUUAGCGGCGGACGGGUGAGUAACACGUGGAUAACCUACCUAUAAGACUGGGAUAACUUCGGGAAACCGGAGCUAAUACCGGAUAAUAUAUUGAACCGCAGGGUUCAAUAGUGAAAGACGGUUUUGCUGUCACUUAUAGAUGGAUCCGCGCCGCAUUAGCUAGUUGGUAAGGUAACGGCUUACCAAGGCAACGAUGCGUAGCCGACCUGAGAGGGUGAUCGGCCACACUGGAACUGAGACACGGUCCAGACUCCUACGGGAGGCAGCAGUAGGGAAUCUUCCGCAAUGGGCGAAAGCCUGACGGAGCAACGCCGCGUGAGUGAUGAAGGUCUUCGGAUCGUAAAACUCUGUUAUUAGGGAAGAACAAAUGUGUAAGUAACUAUGCACGUCUUGACGGUACCUAAUCAGAAAGCCACGGCUAACUACGUG
rnacentral:rRNA from 1 species